AAUUUCGCUGCACCAUUUUGUGGAGAUUUGGGUUCUAUUUCUGUGUUGAAGCUGACAUCUCUAAGCAAGAUUCAAGAUGAUAAAGACAAGGCACCCGCAAAGUCUGUACCAGACCACUGAGAGAUAAAAGGAGAAGGAAGGCUGAAGACAAAGAACUCCCAUAUGCAAUGCUUGCUAUGUAAGUGAUCACCCUGUAUUCACGCAUGUAAAUGGAAUUCAUACAUGCAGCUUACGCAUGUCAGAGGAGCUAGCCAUUGGUCAGUUUGGACAGAGGAGAAAUCUGGGCUGCUUCGAAAGAUAGCCACUGAGAGGCAACACUGUGAUGAUAUUGAUCACAGGAUUGGUUGUGCUCAUGCAGAAUUUUCCAAACAUUGACUGCAGUUAACAGCACUUCAAGCAGAUCAUAUCCAUAAAUGGAAAAGAGGACGAGGAUUCUGAGAAUAACAAAUUCAACCUCACAGCUCAUAUCAGUGCCCUCUGACUGAGGACCUAACAGCAGUGGUAAGAAGGCUUGCUAGCAGUGAGCUCAGGCUUAACAACCAGUGGAAAUACACCUGACAUUCAAUACAUCUUCCUGCAACAUGAUGGACCUGUAUUAUAUGCAGCAUUCCAGAUCCAGUUUCUACAAAAGUCAGUGGCAAAAUUCUGACUCCACAAGGCAUCAUAUUCAGUGUAUAACUUCAGAGCAGUUUCCUCCGUGGGAUACAACAGUGCAUUCUGGCCUUGCUUUAGUCCUGGCUAGAUGGUUCUACAAGGAAGGAAGAGGAAUGUGACAUAUGCAGAUACACUGCCUGUCCUCUGUGCCAAUCUCUGGCUGUCCCUACCAAGAGACACUAUACAACAGGAUGCAUUUGCUUUUGUUCCCUCUGCAGAGCUGCUGGACACAGGCAGAAAAUGGAGCAGCUGAAGCACUUGCAUCAUUUUCCAUUUAUGCUGUCAUGCAUUUGUUUUGCCUGUCUUGUUUAAUGUGAAGGAUAAUACUUUCUUACUGGAAAAAUCCAUCAGCAGCAUAAUGACCUGGAAUUAGCAGACGAAGUGGGAGCAAACCAAAGAAGCUGCGAGCACAUUUGGAAGCAUUUAACUUUUCAGGGUCAGAAUGCAACUAAUGGUUGAGGCAGCAAGGGAUCUCUGUUCCUGCUUGUGUUCAUGUGUGGCGAAGACAUUUCGGCUCAGUGUGAACAUCACGAGGCUCAGACUUAAAAAAGCUGCUUCUCUCUUCUCUUCUGCCAUUGAUCUUGGAGCAUGGUCUUGUGUAACUACUUUCAUGCUUGAGUGGUGGGGAUUUUUUCCUUUCUCUUCUCUUAGCCUUUAUCUCUCUUUCCAUUUGAACUGUAAGGCUUAGGAGAAGGAGUGUCUCAUGACAGGUGUAGUUAUACUGCUCAAUGAAACUCUCUUAUUAGCUAGGACCUAUGGAGCUGUAAUAUCAAUAAUUAAUAGUCAAGAACAGUGCCUGGUUACUGAUUCAUUAAAACUAAAAUUUAUCUUAAUUUAAACUGGAUCCUCAAAUCCCUGUAGACAGGCCAUACAAACCUGCUUAACAGCCCUACCAGCCAUUUGACUAGUUCAUAUUAUCAUUGGAUUUAAUCUUUCCAGAACUAAAUGACCUCGUGCACAUCAGCAAAGGAAAUAGAUUGACAUCAGCAAAAUCUAGGGCAGCGUGAGCUGUACUUGGGCUGGUAGAACAUCGUCUGAGGAAUUCUUAAUUCCUAUAGCAGGUUGUAAUGUGGUAUAAAUCAAAUGAAAUUGUCACAGGACAUGGAAGCAACUCUCAUCUUUGUACUUUGAAGGGAUAAACUUUUCCUUUUUACUUAGGCAGCCUAAAUAUAUAGUGAUAGCGCUUCUUUUUGUCGAAACCUCUUAGGAGUAAAUCCAACAGCUAGGAAACCCUGAAACAGAGAAAGAAUGAGGAUGUCUGAUUCAGGCCACCUGACUGAUCUGCCAGAUCUUCACCUGGGAAAAACGAAUUUAAUUUUUUGUCAAUUAAAAUAGAUAUUGAGAAACCUCUCCCCUCUUUCUUUUCUCGAGUUCCCAUCGCGCAGGGCUGUUUCUCGCUCGCUUCCCCUGGCUCAGCCCCGGCUGCCGGGCAGCGUUUUGCCCUCCCUUGCCCAGGCUUUCCCCGGGGCUCAGGGG